AGGGUUAUAGUUAAUUAUAACAUUUGGGUUGCAUUCAAAAAGUAUUGAGUAUUCAAUUAACCUUA
rnacentral:tRNA from 2 species